rnacentral:rRNA from 1 species
UGGGGAAUAUUGGACAAUGGGCGCAAGCCUGAUCCAGCCAUGCCGCGUGAGUGACGAAGGCCUUAGGGUUGUAAAGCUCUUUUGGCGGGGAAGAUAAUGACGGUACCCGCAGAAUAAGCUCCGGCUAACUUCGUGCCAGCAGCCGCGGUAAUACGAAGGGAGCUAGCGUUGUUCGGAAUCACUGGGCGUAAAGCGCACGUAGGUGGGCAGUUAAGUCAGGGGUGAAAGCCCGAGGCUCAACCUCGGAAUUGCCUCUGAUACUGGCUGUCUAGAGUUCGAGAGAGGUGAGUGGAAUUCCUAGUGUAGAGGUGAAAUUCGUAGAUAUUAGGAAGAACACCGGUGGCGAAGGCGGCUCACUGGCUCGAUACUGACACUGAGGUGCGAAAGCGUGGGAGCAAACAGGAUUAGAUACCCACGUAGUCCCUGAGCGGGCUGGCAAGGCGCAU